GUCACACCUCCCUGCAUUUGACUUGCACAGCCUUCCAUAAACACUUCCUGUAAAGAGAGCCCUAUUUAGGCUUUCUUUAUUGCAAGUUCUGUUUAAUUAAGAUUUUUAUGUUAAUAGCUUGCUAGACCCUGCAAGAGCCUCCUGUAUGUGAUUAAAGUUCAAUUUAGAUAUUGAGAUACAAUUAUUUAAGGUAAAUUACAUCUGUUUGAAAGUGAAACCAGUUUUUUUUUUUUUCAUGCAGGCUCUGUCAGUCAUAGCCAGGGGAGGUGUGGCUAGGGCUGCAUAAACAGAAACAAAGUGAUUUAACUCCUAAAUGACAGUGAAUUGAGCAGUGAAAUUGCAGGGGAAUGAUCUAUA
rnacentral:lncRNA from 1 species